rnacentral:misc_RNA from 1 species
ACAUCACCUCUUCGAGCCCAUCCGUCAAUUAAUAUGUUGUAUACGUAGGUGUUCCUCGGGAUGUUUUUGGCACUCAUUUCUUUUGUCACUGCCAAAGCACUUUGCAUCCUGCCUGCUUUACAACAUGCCUUGAGUAAUGCCUCAUAUGUAUAUAUGUCAAGCUCCAGACCCUCAUCUUUAAUUCUUGAAAAAUACUCAAAAGCUUUUCCUGUAUCGCCAAGAGAUGCAUAACCAUCCAUAAUGGUUGUAUAUGUACGUUCAUUUGGCCUAAUUCCUG